CGGGGAUUGGCGCAGCGGUAGCGCGCACGGUUCGGGACCGUGAGGCCGUCGGUUCAAAUCCGACAUCCCCGA
rnacentral:tRNA from 1 species